UAAGCACAGUGCCAUCCCUG
rnacentral:misc_RNA from 1 species